GAUGAACGCUAGCGGCAGGCUUAAUACAUGCAAGUCGAGGGGCAUCGCGGGUAGCAAUACCUGGCGGCGACCGGCGCACGGGUGCGUAACGCGUAUGUAAUCUGCCUUUAACCGGGGAAUAGCCCAGAGAAAUCUGGAUUAAUGCCCUAUAGUAUUAUUGGAAGGCAUCUUUCGAUAAUUAAAGCUCCGGCGGUUUUAGAUGAACAUGCGUGUCAUUAGUUAGUUGGCGAGGUAACGGCUCACCAAGACUACGAUGACUAGGGGGUCUGAGAGGAUGAUCCCCCACACGGGUACGGAGACACGGACCAGACUCCUACGGGAGGCAGCAGUAAGGAAUAUUGGGCAAUGGAGGCAACUCUGGCCCAGCCGUGCCGCGUGAAGGAUGACGGCCCUCGUGGUUGUAAACUUCUUUUGUACGGGAAUAACCCUCCGAACGUGUUCGGAGCUGAAGGUACCGUAAGAAUAAGGAUCGGCUAACUCCGUGCCAGCCGCCGCAGUAAAAC
rnacentral:rRNA from 1 species